AUGACAGUCGAACGAUGAAGCCCUUCGGGGUGGAUUAGUGGCGAACGGGUGAGUAACACGUGGGCAAUCUGCCCUGCACUCUGGGACAAGCCCUGGAAACGGGGUCUAAUACCGGAUAACACCCCCUCUCGCAUGGGAGGGGGUUGAAAGCUCCGGCGGUGCAGGAUGAGCCCGCGGCCUAUCAGCUUGUUGGUGAGGUAGUGGCUCACCAAGGCGACGACGGGUAGCCGGCCUGAGAGGGCGACCGGCCACACUGGGACUGAGACACGGCCCAGACUCCUACGGGAGGCAGCAGUGGGGAAUAUUGCACAAUGGGCGAAAGCCUGAUGCAGCGACGCCGCGUGAGGGAUGACGGCCUUCGGGUUGUAAACCUCUUUCAGCAGGGAAGAAGCGAAAGUGACGGUACCUGCAGAAGAAGCGCCGGCUAACUACGUGCCAGCAGCCGCGGUAAUACGUAGGGCGCAAGCGUUGUCCCGGAAUUAUUGGGCGUAAAGAGCUCGUAGGCGGCUUGUCACGUCGGUUGUGAAAGCCCGGGGCUUAACCCCGGGUCUGGCAGUCGAUACGGGCAGGCUAGAGUUCGGUAGGGGAGAUCGGAAUUCCUGGUGUAGCGGUGAAAUGCGCAGAUAUCAGGAGGAACACCGGUGGCGAAGGCGGAUCUCUGGGCCGAUACUGACGCUGAGGAGCGAAAGCGUGGGGAGCGAACAGGAUUAGAUACCCUGGUAGUCCACGCCGUAAACGGUGGGCACUAGGUGUGGGCAACAUUCCACGUUGUCCGUGCCGCAGCUAACGCAUUAAGUGCCCCGCCUGGGGAGUACGGGCCGCAAGGCUAAAACUCAAAGGAAUUGACGGGGGGCCGCCCCAAGGCGGGCGGGAGCAUGGUAAUUCGACGCAACGCGAAGAACCUUACCAAGGCUUGACAUACACCGGAAACGGCCAGAGAUGGUCGCCCCCUUGUGGUCGGUGUACAGGUGGUGCAUGGCUGUCGUCAGCUCGUGUCGUGAGAUGUUGGGUUAAGUCCCGCAACGAGCGCAACCCUUGUCCCGUGUUGCCAGCAAGCCCUUCGGGGUGUUGGGGACUCACGGGAGACCGCCGGGGUCAACUCGGAGGAAGGUGGGGACGACGUCAAGUCAUCAUGCCCCUUAUGUCUUGGGCUGCACACGUGCUACAAUGGCCGGUACAAUGAGCUGCGAUACCGCGAGGUGGAGCGAAUCUCAAAAAGCCGGUCUCAGUUCGGAUUGGGGUCUGCAACUCGACCCCAUGAAGUCGGAGUCGCUAGUAAUCGCAGAUCAGCAUUGCUGCGGUGAAUACGUUCCCGGGCCUUGUACACACCGCCCGUCACGUCACGAAAGUCGGUAACACCCGAAGCCGGUGGCCCAACCCCUUGUGGGAGGGAGCUGU
rnacentral:rRNA from 1 species